rnacentral:rRNA from 1 species
GACAGAGGGUGCAAACGUUGUUCGGAAUUACUGGGCGUAAAGCGCGUGUAGGCGGCUAUGCAAGUCGGGCGUGAAAUCCCACGGCUCAACCGUGGAAGUGCACUCGAAACUGCGUAGCUAGAGUCUCGGAGAGGAAGGUGGAAUACUUGGUGUAGAGGUGAAAUUCGUAGAUAUCAAGUGGAACACCGGUGGCGAAGGCGACAUCCUGGACCGGUAUUGACGCUGAGGCGCGAAAGCCAGGGGAGCAAACGGG